AUUGAACGCUGGCGGCAGGCCUAACACAUGCAAGUCGAACGGUAACAGGAAACAGCUUGCUGUUUCGCUGACGAGUGGCGGACGGGUGAGUAAUGUCUGGGAAACUGCCUGAUGGAGGGGGAUAACUACUGGAAACGGUAGCUAAUACCGCAUAACGUCGCAAGACCAAAGAGGGGGACCUUCGGGCCUCUUGCCAUCGGAUGUGCCCAGAUGGGAUUAGCUAGUAGGUGGGGUAACGGCUCACCUAGGCGACGAUCCCUAGCUGGUCUGAGAGGAUGACCAGCCACACUGGAACGGAGACACGGUCCAGACUCCUACGGGAGGCAGCAGUGGGGAAUAUUGCACAAUGGGCGCAAGCCUGAUGCAGCCAUGCCGCGUGUAUGAAGAAGGCCUUCGGGUUGUAAAGUACUUUCAGCGGGGAGGAAGGGAGUAAAGUUAAUACCUUUACUCAUUGACGUUACCCGCAGAAGAAGCACCGGCUAACUCCGUG
rnacentral:rRNA from 1 species